GAUUUCGUAGCUCAAUGGUAGAGCGCCGGUCUGUUAAACUGGAAGUUGAAAGUUCGAAUCUUUCGGGAAUCG
rnacentral:tRNA from 1 species